CCUACGGGCGGCAACAGUGAGGAAUAUUGGUCAAUGGACGAAAGGCUGAACCAGCCAAGUCGCGUGAAGGAAGAAUGCCCUAAGGGUUGUAAACUUCUUUUAUCAAGGCAUAAAACGAGGCACGUGAGCCUGUAUGACGGUACUUGAUGAAUAAAGAUCGGCUAACUCCGUGCCAGCAGCCGCGGUAAUACGGAGGGUCCGAGCGUUACUCGGAUUUAUUGGGGGUAAAGGGAGUGUAGGGGGGUAUGUAAGUCAGCGGUGAAAGGUCGGGGCUCAACCGUGGAAUUGCCAUUAUGACGAGGUAUCUAGAGUAAUGGAGAGGAUAGCGGAAUACGCAGUGUAGAGGUGAAAUGCGUAGAUAUUGCGUAGAACACCGGUGGCGAAGGCAGCUAUCUGGCCAUGUACUGACGCUGAGGCUCGAAAGCAUGGGGAUCAAACAGGAUUAGAUACCCGAGUAGUC
rnacentral:rRNA from 1 species